rnacentral:rRNA from 1 species
CCCCAAGAGUCCAUAUCGACGGGAUGGUUUGGCACCUCGAUGUCGGCUCGUCGCAUCCUGGGGCUGGAGUCGGUCCCAAGGGUUGGGCUGUUCGCCCAUUAAAGCGGUACGCGAGCUGGGUUUAGAACGUCGUGAGACAGUUCGGUCCCUAUCCGCUGUGCGCGUAGGAGUCUUGAGAAGGGCUGUCCCUAGUACGAGAGGACCGGGACGGACGAACCUCUGGUGUGCCAGUUGUCCUGCCAAGGGCAUGGCUGGUUGGCUACGUUCGGGAGGGAUAACCGCUGAAAGCAUCUAAGCGGGAAGCCUGCUUCGAGAUGAGGACUCCCACCCACUUGAUGGGGUAAGGCUCCCAGUAGACGACUGGGUUGAUAGGCCGGAUCUGGAAGCCAGGUAACUGGUGGAGGUGACCGGUACUAAUAGGCCGAGGGCUUGUCCUCAGUUG